rnacentral:rRNA from 1 species
CGCUGGCGGCGUGUUUAAGACAUGCAAGUCGCACGGGACUAUUUGAGUAGCAAUACAAGAAUAGUUUAGUGGCGCACGGGUGAGUAACACGUGAAUUACAUGCCCUGCAGAGGGGGAUAGCCCAGGGAAACUUGGAUUAAUACCCCAUGGUAUCGCGAGAUUAAAGAUGGCCGCAAGGCUGUCGCUGCAGGAUUGGUUCGCGCCCUAUCAGCUUGUUGGUGAGGUAACGGCUCACCAAGGCUACGACGGGUACCUGGUCUGAGAGGACGAUCAGGCACACUGGAACUGAGACACGGUCCAGACACCUACGGGUGGCAGCAGUCGAGAAUAAUUCACAAUGGGGGCAACCCUGAUGGUGCAACGCCGCGUGGAGGAUGAAGGUCUUCGGAUUGUAAACUCCUGUCAUCCGGGAGUAAGACCUGGCGAUGAAUAGUCGACAGGGUUGAUAGUACCGGAAGAGGAAGGGACGGCUAACUUCGUG